AUUGAACGCUGGCGGAAUGCUUUACACAUGCAAGUCGAACGGCAGCACGGGGGCAACCCUGGUGGCGAGUGGCGAACGGGUGAGUAAUACAUCGGAACGUGCCCGGUCGUGGGGGAUAACGUAGCGAAAGUUACGCUAAUACCGCAUACGAUCUGAGGAUGAAAGCGGGGGACCUUCGGGCCUCGCGCGAUCGGAGCGGCCGAUGUCAGAUUAGGUAGUUGGUGGGGUAAAGGCCUACCAAGCCGACGAUCUGUAGCUGGUCUGAGAGGACGACCAGCCACACUGGGACUGAGACACGGCCCAGACUCCUACGGGAGGCAGCAGUGGGGAAUUUUGGACAAUGGGCGCAAGCCUGAUCCAGCCAUUCCGCGUGCAGGACGAAGGCCUUCGGGUUGUAAACUGCUUUUGUAUGGAACGAAAAGGCUCUGGCUAAUACCUGGGGCUCAUGACGGUACCGUAAGAAUAAGCACCGGCUAACAACGUG
rnacentral:rRNA from 1 species